AUUGAACGCUGGCGGCAGGCUUAACACAUGCAAGUCGAGCGGGGAAGGGUAGCUUGCUACCUGACCUAGCGGCGGACGGGUGAGUAAUGCUUAGGAAUCUGCCUAUUAGUGGGGGACAACAUUCCGAAAGGAAUGCUAAUACCGCAUACGCCCUACGGGGGAAAGCAGGGGAUCUUCGGACCUUGCGCUAAUAGAUGAGCCUAAGUCAGAUUAGCUAGUUGGUGGGGUAAAGGCCUACCAAGGCGACGAUCUGUAGCGGGUCUGAGAGGAUGAUCCGCCACACUGGGACUGAGACACGGCCCAGACUCCUACGGGAGGCAGCAGUGGGGAAUAUUGGACAAUGGGCGCAAGCCUGAUCCAGCCAUGCCGCGUGUGUGAAGAAGGCCUUUUGGUUGUAAAGCACUUUAAGCGAGGAGGAGGCUACUGAGAUUAAUACUCUUGGAUAGUGGACGUUACUCGCAGAAUAAGCACCGGCUAACUCUGUG
rnacentral:rRNA from 1 species